UCCUCCUUUUGGCACCUGUUUUUCAUGCUGGAAGGAAGAGUGGUGCCAGCUGAAAGGGAGGGUAAAGUCACAGCUAUAAAAUGGUUCUGCCUCCUGUUCGAAGGAUCCUGAUUAUCAAAAUUCUUCCCAAGAGCUCUCCCUGUCUUUAAAACAGUUUUUGAAAAGCUGUUGAAAAUCCACAGUGUUUUUUUCCUUAGACCCACUGGGGAGAUGGACCCUUGAUGGUGUUAAUUUCAUUACCAGGACACAAAAUGCAUUCAAAUCACAGAAUCAGUAAGGUUGGAAAAGUUCUCCAAGAUCAUGAAGUCCAACCUUCAGCCAAACACCACCAUUCCCACGCAGAGAUUGGGAGCACAGGGACCUCAGAUUUGAAGAUCUGGCACACCUUAGCUGCUGGAGACCCACAGAAGCACCUCUUCCACAUUGCAAUUCUCCUGCAAAGUUCCUGGGCUGGCUCGGAGAGUUCUCUUGGCUGCAGGGAGAAGUCAUGGCUGGGACUCAGCUGGGCUCAGAUUGCCUGCAGGUGCCUUGUGUUCCAAAAUAUCCUUGGAACUGGAGCCUGCACACAUCUGCCUGAUGCUUCCCCACAGCAACUCCCCAGUUCCAGUGAUGCUCUUUGGAGUCCCAUCCAAGCACAGCUACAAGGAUCUUGGAGGAAAGGUUAUCUUGGACUGUGGAUGCAGAGAGCACAGUUCUGGAGAAGGCCAAGCACAGAGCAGCAGAGCUGAGCAAGGUCAGAAAAGUGGAUCCUUUGAGGCAGCUCUGCCAGGCUGCAGAUGGGACUGGAGCUUUGGAUGAGGGGCUGGGGCUGGAGAAGACCCAGAAGAGCUCCUCCCCACAGGCUGGGACCCUGCAGCACCUCCCUCCAUCACUGGCCACGUCACUUUGCCUUUGGAUCUGCAUCAGACAUUCAGGUUGCCACAAUAGCUCCAUCAUCACCAGGCUUGAAGGAGGAACAAUUGGAUCAUGAUUUUCUUGAAGCCUGCCCCAGCCAUCACAAAAAUCCAGCUGUGUGAACAAAGUACAGAAUCCUCUUGGAGAGCAAAUGCUGUUUGCAAUCUCACUAAAAGUUAAAUGACUAUUUUUA